UACGUAGGGUGCAAGCGUUGUCCGGAAUUAUUGGGCGUAAAGAGCUCGUAGGCGGUUUGUUGCGUCGGCUGUGAAAUCCCGAGGCUCAACCUCGGGUCUGCAGUCGAUACGAGCAAACUAGAGUGUUGCAGGGGAGACUGGAAUUCCUGGUGUAGCGGUGAAAUGCGCAGAUAUCAGGAGGAACACCGGUGGCGAAGGCGGGUCUCUGGGCAACAACUGACGCUGAGGAGCGAAAGCGUGGGGAGCGGACAGG
rnacentral:rRNA from 1 species